rnacentral:rRNA from 1 species
CCUACGGGCGGCAGCAGUAGGGAAUAUUCCGCAAUGGGGGAAACUCUGACGCAGCAACGCCGCGUGGAGGAUGAAGGUUUUCGGAUUGUAAACUCCUUUUGUUAGAGAAGAUAAUGACGGUAUCUAACGAAUAAGCACCGGCUAACUCCGUGCCAGCAGCCGCGGUACUACGGAGGGUGCAACCGUUACUCGGAAUCACUGGGCGUAAAGAGCGCGUAGGCGGGUUAGCAAGUCAGAUGUGAAAUCCUAUGGCUUAACCAUAGAACUGCAUUUGAAACUGUUAUUCUAGAGUAUGGGAGAGGGAGGUGGAAUUCUUGGUGUAGGGGUAAAAUCCGUAGAGAUCAAGAGGAAUACUCAGUGCGAAGGCGACCUGCUAGAACAUAACUGACGCUGAUGCGCGAAAGCGUGGGGAGCAAACAGGAUUAGAUACCCUGUAGUC